GCUUACGGCCACACCGCCUGGUUCACGCCUGAUCUCGUUUGAUCACGGAAGCUAAAAUAGGGUGGGCCGAGGUUAGUACUUGGAUGGGACACCGCCUGGGAAUACCAGGUGCUGCAAGCU
rnacentral:rRNA from 1 species